UACAGAGGGUGCGAGCGUUGUCCGGAAUCACUGGGCGUAAAGGGCGCGUAGGCGGCCACCGCAAGUCGACUGUGAAAAUCUCCGGGCUUAACUCGGAAAGGUCAGCCGAUACUGCGGGGCUAGAGUGCAGAAGGGGCAACUGGAAUUCUCGGUGUAGCGGUGAAAUGCGUAGAUAUCGAGAGGAACACCUGCGGCGAAGGCGGGUUGCUGGGCUGACACUGACGCUGAUGCGCGAAAGCUAGGGGAGCGAAGCGGG
rnacentral:rRNA from 1 species